rnacentral:rRNA from 1 species
CUUCCGUAGGGGAACCUGCGGAAGGAUCAUUAGUGAACAUAGGACGUCCAACUUAACUUGGAGUCCGAACUCUCACUUUCUAACCCUGUGCAUUUGUUUGGGAUAGUAACUCUCGCAAGAGAGCGAACUCCUAUUCACUUAUAAACACAAAGUCUAUGAAUGUAUUUAAUUUUAUAACAAAAUAAAACUUUCAACAACGGAUCUCUUGGCUCUCGCAUCGAUGAAGAACGCAGCGAAAUGCGAUAAGUAAUGUGAAUUGCAGAAUUCAGUGAAUCAUCGAAUCUUUGAACGCACCUUGCGCUCCAUGGUAUUCCGUGGAGCAUGCCUGUUUGAGUGUCAUGAAUACUUCAACCCUCCUCUUUCUUAAUGAUUGAAGAGGUGUUUGGAUUCUGAGCGCUGCUGGCCUUACGGUCUAGCUCGUUCGUAAUGCAUUAGCAUCCGCAAUCGAACUUCGGAUUGACUUGGCGUAAUAGACUAUUCGCUGAGGAAUUCUAAUCUUCGGAUUAGAGCCGGGUUAGGUUAAAGGAAGCUUCUAAUCAGAAUGUCUACAUUUUAAGAUUAGAUCUCAAAUCAGGUAGGACUACCCGCUGAACUUAAGCAUAUCAAUAAGCGGAGGAA